UUUAAAAAAAAUUGUCUGUGGUCUCUUUAUGUUUUUACGCGUAAAAGAGACAAAGGGAGGAAAGAGCUCAUUAUUAUUAUUGUAUAACAUGUCUCAGGUGUUUUCAGUUCCAAGAAGAAGUGAAAAACAUAUGCAGUACCCGUUACUCACUUACUCACGACUUACUGGUAUUCUAAGUCAAGGUCUUACGUAUUGAAAUAAUAAAUGAUACUUGUAUUAAUUUUAUUGUUACGCUAUCAAAAUACUAUUUACAAUGACUCAAGUUAACAUAAUAUUAUACUUAUGGCCCACCAAUAAUGUACGCCUCUGUUUUAAACUAAUAUGAAAAUUUAGCCUUACUUAUCGUGUAAAAAUGGAACAACUAUAAGGCUUACUAAGCCUUUUUCAUGAUCAAUAACGAAGUGAUUAAAUUUCUCAAAAUAUAUUUUGUAUUCACAGUUUUGUCCAAAUAUGUUUGUAUAAAGUUGAAAUAUUACUAAUAUUUAAAAAUUAUACUUUCUUCCAUUUGUAUAGGCUACGUAUAUAAGCACUAGUUUAACUUUAAACUCUUUUUGUGUGUAACUUUCAAUAACACACCAUGGCCCAAUAUAUAUAUAUAACUUGUUAUUAUAGACAUUUUAUAAAAACAAUCAUUUGAGGUAUGAACAGGUGUUUUAUGGGGAAUAAUUAUAACUCUUAAGUCAUUGUGGUGGGAAGAUGUUGAGGGCUAGCUUGUACCCAUGGAUCCAUGUGUGAGUUGAUGGCAGCAACUGAACUGUACUGAUCACACUUUCAAGUAUUUUGUAGUGGAGAACUGUUAAAUUGUAUAGUCUAAUUCGCAGGCCAGACUUGAGUGUGCUUGUAGUGUGUGUGUGUGUGUUUCUUUGGUGAUGGUGAGAAGUUAGCCAUUUGUUAGUGUGAAUGGUGCAAGAUAAGCGGAAGAACAUGUCUGCAAACCUCACGCGAAGUUCUGUCUGUCACAACCUCACUAAGUGGUUGACUCCCAGUUCGCCAUAGGAUUUUCUUGUUUGACACCUGAUCUAUAUAUCUAUUAAUAUUAAAAGUUGAGACAAAAAAAGGAGGGUUUCAUGACAAAAUAAACAAUUUAUAGUUCGGGAAUAAAUCAAUGGCCAUAGCCGUGGGUUAUGCUAGUAAUUGAUUUAAAAAUGGGUGGCUUUUUUUCUUUUAAUACAUUUUAGAAGAUAUCUUUUUUCAACUUCUUAAUGAGAAAUCAAUUUUAAACAUCUUUAGGCACUUUAAUAAUAAUUUUAAAAAAUGGAGAAAGCGAUGUCAUUCAUUAGACAUUUGUAGAAGCCUUUAAAAAAAAAAAGGGAAUUUAAUAAGUUAUUGCAAAUAAAGAACAACGAAGAUUAAUAGAAAUGCUUUAAAUUUGAUGCUGGAGACUAAGAUUUGUGUAUCAUACGUCACACUUGACAGCACAUAUAGCAGCCAGCCAGGUGUAUGAGAAAUGACACUGUUUUUGGUCACAUUGUAUUAUGUUAUAUUGUUACUCUAAUUGAAAGCAUUUGUAGGUCCAUGUGGUUUAUAAUUUUUGUAAAAAAUGAAAUAGAUACAAGUAUACAAGUGCUCAUAAGAUAGUAUAUUGUAGUAAUUAUUGUGAAACAUCCAUUUUGAAACAAAACUGCAGCUGUAGAACUUGUCUUAAAGACACAAUUUCAUAGUAAAUAGUUUGAGAUGAAAGAUAAAUUGUAUUAAUCUAAUCAACAUUCUUGUUUUAUUAAUGAAUCUUAAGGUUUGUUUUUGUUUCAAUUUUUGUAACUCCCAUAUGUUAAAAAAUAUUAAAUAUCAAUAAACUUACACAUUACAUUACAAAGCUUUGUCUAGUACAAAAUAAAAAACAAAACUAAAAUACAGAA